CACAAGUCCCUGCUAAUAUCACGUUUGCUCUGUAGAGCAGAGCACAGUGUGCACUCAGACCUGUAAUAGAAGAAGGAGGCUUCCACGUUUAAUAUUCUGUGCAAUAGAAAUUUUAAAAAUAUGUGUAAAAUCUGCAGUGCAGUGGCCUGGACGCUGAAUUACUGUAUGUGUCACGACCGUCAGGACUCACCGCUGUCAGUUGUGCAGAUUCUUCGUCCAGCAGAAUCCAAUGGAGGCGGUGCAGAACCACGACUUGAGGCCUGAGUAGAGGGGUCACUUUACCACGACCGAAGUCACUGGCAUCUGACCCAGAGGUUAUGGUCAAAACAUUUGUGGGCAUCUGCAAAAGUCAGCAAAGCAUUUUCAAUUAAAUAUUAAAUUUGACCGAAGCAUGUUUUUUCCCCAUUCUUUUCUUUACGCUACCUGUUACCUGUCAUGAUGUCUCCAACUAUUCUAUUCAGCCUGUGGAAAUGGGGCAUCGGAGUGAUGACAAGGAGCAAGAAUCACACUCCUGCACCAUUUUGUAGUAGGCCUCCUUCAAGGCCAGAAACAGGACGGCAGAGAGAAAAACACAUUAGCACAAAAGGCGUGAGUCAAGGCACAAAAGGAAAAUGAUUUAUU